rnacentral:rRNA from 1 species
AUUGAACGCUGGCGGCAUGCCUUACACAUGCAAGUCGAACGGUAACAGGUCUUCGGAUGCUGACGAGUGGCGAACGGGUGAGUAAUACAUCGGAACGUGCCUAGUAGUGGGGGAUAACUACUCGAAAGAGUGGCUAAUACCGCAUGAGAUCUACGGAUGAAAGCAGGGGAUCGCAAGACCUUGUGCUACUAGAGCGGCCGAUGGCAGAUUAGGUAGUUGGUGGGAUAAAAGCUUACCAAGCCGACGAUCUGUAGCUGGUCUGAGAGGACGAGCAGCCACACUGGGACUGAGACACGGCCCAGACUCCUACGGGAGGCAGCAGUGGGGAAUUUUGGACAAUGGGCGCAAGCCUGAUCCAGCAAUGCCGCGUGCAGGAUGAAGGCCUUCGGGUUGUAAACUGCUUUUGUACGGAACGGAAAGCCCUGGGUUAAUACCCUGGGGUCAUGACGGUACCGUAAGAAUAAGCACCGGCUAACUACGUGCCAGCCGCCGCAGUAAAAC